GCGGGUGUGGCGGAACUGGCAGACGCGCUGGACUCAGGAUCCAGUGGGCUUACGCCCGUGAGGGUUCAACUCCCUCCACCCGCACCA
rnacentral:tRNA from 1 species